GUCUUAGCCAAGCGGUUACUGCACCAGAGUCAAAAUCUGUAUCUCUUGGAUUGUGCAGGUUCGAAACCUGCCGAAGAUA